rnacentral:rRNA from 1 species
UACGUAGGGGCAAGCGUUGUCCGGAUUCAUUGGGCGUAAAGAGCGUGUAGGCGGCCAGGUAGGUCGGUUGUGAAACUGGAGGCUCAACCUUCAGACGUCGACCGAAACCAUCUGGCUAGAGUCCGGAGAGGAGAGUGGAAUUCCUGGUGUAGCGGUGAAAUGCGCAGAUAUCAGGAAGAACACCCGUGGCGAAAGCGGCUCUCUGGAACGGUACUGACGCUGAGACGCGAAAGCGUGGGAGCGAACAGG